CUCAAACAUUUCUUCUAAGCUUCACAGCCUUCAUUUCAUUACUACGUAAACCCAAACUUAUAGCUUCCUCUUGACGGGAACCUCUGCUUCAGGCAAAUAUGGCAGACGGAACCAACGAUGUCAACAUGCGAAUCACAGUCGCCGAUAACGAAACAAAAGAUGUCAUCCUCCAAAUCUCAGACGCCGAACAACCACAACUGAAUGAUACUGAGGUAGAAGAAAGCAAAGUCAACGGUAACAAGUGGGAGAAGUUCAUCAUCAUUACGGAGUCAAUUGCAUUUGUGUGCGUUAUGGGGCUUUUAAUUGCCAGCUUGACGGCGGAUAGAUUGCAGAAUUCUAAGAUUUGGGAUGUGAAAAUAUGGAAAUGGUGUUUGUUACUGCUGGCUAUUCUCUGUGGUAGGCUGUUUGCUUACAUGUUUACAUAUGUUCUGAUAUCCUUGAUUCGGAGGUCUGGGCUUGUUGAGAGUGUUAUUUAUUGUGUUUAUGGAGUGAAGAAGAGCAUUAUGUUCUUCAUUUGGUUAGGUUUGGUUACUCUAGCUUGGGGUUUGUUGUUUAAUUUUGGGGUUAAUCGAAGCAAGGAUUCUACCCAUAUUGUACAUAAAAUCACCAGAGGUCUUGGUGGUUGUCUAAUUGGAGCUGCUAUAUGGCUACUGAAAUCUAUUUUAGUUUGGUCGAUAGGUUCUGUCCAUGCCAAGAAAUUGUUUUCCAGGAUUAAAGAAGCGAAAUGUUUUCGGAAUAUUCUAAGAGUUCUUUCAGUGAGAUGUGAUUCUGGGUCGCAGGAAGUAGAGAACGUUCAUGCCGAGAUUAUGGAAGAUUCCAUAGAUCUAAUUCGAGGACAUAGGCUUCGUCCUCUCUCCUAUAAGGACAAUGGAAUAGAUGAAAAAAUCACUGAUGAGGAUGGAGCAUACGAAGCUGCCUAUAAGAUUUUCAACAAAUUACCGCCUGGAAAUGAUUCUGGAAGGUCUGUGCACUUGAAACACCUAGUCAGUAGUAUAGAUAUUCAGCAUUUGCAAGGGGAAUUCAACACAGAUCUGGAUAAACCGAUGAGUAGAUCAGAUUUCAGGGACUGGGUGGUUGACAAUUUCAACAACUAUGAAAUGCUGAAAAGCAUCUUAGAACAUAAAAAAACCGCUAUUGAUGAGUUGAACGUGAUUGCUUCUCUGAUGGUGGUGAUUGUAAUCAUCAUUGUAUGGUUACUUUUCAUGGGAUUUUUAACAACCAAAGUACUCGUCUUCAUAUCAUCCCAAAUUUUGCUGAUAGCUUUUGUAUUUGGUAACUCUGCCAAGAAUGUUUUUGAAGCUGUGAUUUUUGUAUUUGUGGUCCACCUCUUUGAUGUUGGCGAUCGUUGUAUUAUUGAUGGAACAACGAUGACUGUUGAUGAGAUGACUAUAAUGACUACAAAGUUCAAAAGAGAUGAUGAUGGAGAGUUGAUAUGCUAUCCGAAUGCAGUUUUAGCUACAACACCAAUCAAGAUGCUUUACAAGAUUCCUCAAAAGAGCGACUGUUUGGAAUUCGGUAUUGAUGUUAGUACCCCACAAUCUGCCUUCGAACGACUGCAACAUCGCAUAAAAAGGUAUUUGCAGGAAAAUCCUAGGCGGUGGCAACCUGAACACAGCAUACAGGUCAUGGCGAUUGACGAUAAUAAGAUGACGGUAGCUCUUCAUGUUAAUCAUACCAUAAACUAUCGUCAUAGGAAGAAGAGGGCCAAGCGAAGAUCAGAUCUAUUGCUAGAGAUGAGGCACAUUUUUCAAGACCUUGGUAUUCAAUAUAAUCUUCCGCGUCAACGAGUUCAUCUAUUCUUUGAAGGUGGAAAUGCAUUAACUCCAUUAUCUGUGUUUCAAUAAGAGGACGACAAGAGCAAAAAGUCCAAUGGCAAGUCUUGAUUAGACCUAUUAUGUCAUGAAUCCAAUAUACAACGCAUAUAUUUCUCGUCAUUUAGUUAUAUGUUUCUGGCCAUCUACUUGUAUCUAAUUAAUAGAUAAUAGUAUUGGCUCACGUGGUUGCAAAUUUAUCUAUCUGUAAUUUAUUUAUAAUAAAGUAAGAAGAGGGGAAUAAUGAGAUAUGGCAAAA
rnacentral:misc_RNA from 1 species